rnacentral:rRNA from 1 species
UAAGCAUAUCAAUAAGCGGAGGAAAAGAAACCAACCGGGAUUGCCUCAGUAACGGCGAGUGAAGCGGCAAGAGCUCAAAUUUGAAAGCUGGCCCCUUCGGGGUCCGCGUUGUAAUUUGCAGAGGAUGCUUCGGGUGCGGCCCCUGUCUAAGUGCCCUGGAACGGGCCGUCAGAGAGGGUGAGAAUCCCGUCUUGGGCAGGGUGCCCGUGCCCGUGUGAAGCUCCUUCGACGAGUCGAGUUGUUUGGGAAUGCAGCUCUAAAUGGGUGGUAAAUUUCAUCUAAAGCUAAAUACCGGCCGGAGACCGAUAGCGCACAAGUAGAGUGAUCGAAAGAUGAAAAGCACUUUGAAAAGAGAGUUAAACAGCACGUGAAAUUGUUGAAAGGGAAGCGCUUGCGACCAGACUCGGCCCCGGGGUUCAGCCAGCACUCGUGCUGGUGUACUUCCCCGGGGGCGGGCCAGCGUCGGUUUGGGCGGCCGGUCAAAGGCCCCAGGAAUGUAUCGCCCUCCGGGGUUGUCUUAUAGCCUGGGGUGCAAUGCGGCCAGCCCGGACCGAGGAACGCGCUUCGGCACGGACGCUGGCGUAAUGGUCGCAAACGACCCGUCUUGAAACA